rnacentral:lncRNA from 1 species
UUGCAACGACCCGACCCGCUAGCAAUAAUAACUCGUUGGGCCAAACCACUGGCCCAAAAUGCUUAAGCUCAGUUAUUACUAUUAGCGUGUAGGUCUCAUAUAAGCUGAUCGGAAUCAGUAUCCCAUCCAAUGUAGGACUAUUGGGGGUGUUACAAACUCCCCCUGUUUAGACCCUAACGUUCUCGUCGGGUCCAAACCAGAUCACAGACAGACAGACCAGGACCAUUACCAGGCGAUGUGAGAUUCUAGAGGUGGCUCCUAUGGGUUCAAGAGGUGGCUCCCACCAAACCCGUUGGUGUAGCACUUUGUCCCGCAUAGCACUUAGUUCUCACACUUCCGGUUGGUAUUCGGCCCUGAUACCAAUUGCAACGACCCGACCCGCUAGCAAUAAUAACUCGUUGGGCCAAACCACUGGCCCAAAAUGCUUAAGCCCAGUUAUUACUAUUAGCGUGUAGGUCUCAUAUAAACUGAUCGAAAUCAGUAUCCCAUCCGAUGUGGGACUAUUGGGGCGUUACAAACUCCCCCUGUNUGUCGAUUCUUGCAUCUUGUAUUAUUGCAUUAUAGGAUGAUUGUGCAUUGCCUUUCCUUAUGCUUUCCUUGAUGAUAUCGUAGCAUGUAUUGGAUACUUGAUAUAGUGGAUCGAUAAGGAUUGGGUCGAGAUUGUGAAUCCUAUAGUGCAGAGAAAAUGAUGGGCUCAAUGGUUGGUCUAAUGAUGAACAAAGAACGGGUGGCAUCUAGUCAAUAGUAAACCAUGAACGAGUGGCAUUUAGUUGAUAGUAAGCAAAAGAACAAAUGACACAUAUGACCGUAUCGUUUUGGGUUUCCAGAAAUGUACGACUUGGCACUGGAAGCCUCCGCCGCUCAUCUGUUUCCUUCGAACAUCUGAGGCAACAAAGGCAGCUAGCCAACAAGGCUCUGGGACAAUUUUCAGGGUAUUCACACAGCCGCAAGUGAAUCCCAACUCAAGAAACGCGUUCCGCCGGCAGUUUUGCUGGAAAAUGCCUCGAAACCAAUUUUCGGUUUCAUGAGGACUUCAGAGACUUGGACAAUCAGUCCCAGGGGGUCACAGUCGGUGGCUUCACGCUGCCCGAGGCAGCCUAUGCUGUCACAAUUGAGUAGAAGCCCCUAUACUACCAAUAAUUGCAUAAUAUAUACAUAAAAACAGUGUUUCAAGGCCGUUACUGAAAACCGUGCAACUUCGAGACCGAGGGUACCAGCGGGUAGGUCUUGAUGCAACAAACCCUGUGCUCGCUGUCCGAAGCACAAACGAUGGCCGAGGAGCGCGCCGGGUCGACGAGAGCUCUGACUAAAACUCCACUGGGAGCGACACGGUUGUUUCUGCCAACCAGAGCCUCUUCGACAGCAACUAGGGUGAGCACUGUGAUGUAACACCCCCAAUAGUCCCACAUUGGAUGGGAUACUGAUUCCGAUCAGCUUAUAUGAGACCUACACGCUAAUAGUAAUAACUGGGCUUAAGCAUUUUGGGCCAGUGGUUUGGCCCAACGAGUUAUUAUUGCUAGCGGGUCGGGUCGUUGCAAUUGGUAUCAGAGCCGAAUACCAGCCGGAAGUGUGAGAACUAAGUGCUAUACGGGACAAAGUGCUACACCAACGGGUUUGGUGGGAGCCACCUCUUGAACCCGUAGGAGCCACCUCUAGAAUCUCACAUCGCCUGGUAAUGGUCCUGGUCUAUCUGUCUGUGAUCUAGUUUGGACCCGACGAGUACGCCAGGGUCUAAACAGGGGGAGUUUGUAACACCCCCAAUAGUCCCACAUUGGAUGGGAUACUGAUUCCGAUCAGCUUAUAUGAGACCUACACGCUAAUAGUAAUAACUGGGCUUAAACAUUUUGGGCCAGUGGUUUGGCCCAACGAGUUAUUAUUGCUAGCGGGGUCGGGUCGUUGCAAUUGGUAUUAGAGCCGAAUACCAGCCGGAAGUGUGAGAACUAGUAUGCUAUGCGGGACAAAGUGCUACACCAACGGGUUUGGUGGGAGCCACCUCUUGAACCGUGUAGUCCUGGUCUUUCUGUCUGUGAUCUGGUUUGGACCCGACGAGGACGUCAGGGUCUAAAUAGGGGGAGUUUGUAACCCCCAAUAGUCCCAAUUGGAUGGGAUACUGAUUCCGAUCACUUAUAUGAGACUACACGCUAAUAGUAAUAACUGGGCUUAAGCAUUUUGGGCCAGUGGUUUGCCCAACGAGUUAUAUUUGCACGACCCGACCCGCUAGCAAUAAUAACUCGUUGGCCAAACCACUGCCCAAAAUGCUUAAGCUCAGUUAUUACUAUUAGCGUGUAGGUCUCAUAUAAGUGAUCGAAUCAGUAUCCCUCCAAUGUAGGACUAUUGGGGUGUUACAAACUCCCCCUGUUUAGACCAACGUUCUCGUCGGGUCCAAACCAAUCACAGACAGACAGACCAGGACCAUUACCAGGCGAUGUGAGAUUCUAGAGGUGGCUCCUUAUGGGUUCAAGAGGUGGCUCCCACCAAACCCGUUGGUGUAGCACUUUUCCGCAUAGCACUUAGUUCUCACACUUCCGGUUGGUAUUCGGCCCUGAUACCAAUUGCAACGACCCGACCCGCUAGCAAUAAUAACUCGUUGGGCCAAACCACUGGCCCAAAAUGCUUAAGCCAGUUAUUACUAUUAGCGUGUAGGUCUCAUAUAAACUGAUCGAAAUCAGUAUCCCAUCGAUGUGGGACUAUUGGGGCGUUCAAACUCCCCGUUUAGACCCUGGACGUCCUCUUCGGGUCCAAACCACAUCACAGACAGACAGACCAGGACCAUUACCAAGCGAUGUGAGAUUCUAGAGGUGGCCCUACGGGUUCAAGAGGGUGGCUCCGCCAAACCCGUUGGUGUAGCACUUGUCCCGCAUAGCACUUAGUUCUCACACUUCCGGCUGGUAUUCGGCUCUGAUACCAAUUGCAACGACCGACCCGCUAGCAUAAUAACUCAUUGGGCCAAACCACUGGCCCAAGUUAUUACUAUUAGCGUGUAGGUCUCAUAUAAACUGAUCGAAAUCAGUAUCCCAUCCGAUGUGGGACUAUUGUGGCGUUACAAACUCCCCCUGUUUAGACCCUGACGUCCUCUUCGGGUCCAAACCCCAUCACAGACAGACAGACCAGGACCAUUACCAAGCGAUGUGAGAUUCUAGAGGUGGCUCCUACGGGUUCAAGAGGUGGCUCCCACCAACCCGGUGGCUCCACCAAACCCGUUGGUGUAGCAUUUGUCCCGCAUAGCACUUAGUUCUCACACUUCCGGCUGGUAUUCGGCUUCUGAUACCAAUUGCAACGACCCGACCCCGCUAGCAACAAUAACUCGUUGGGCCCAAACCACUGGCCAAAAUGCUUAAGCCCAGUUGUUCUUAUUAGCGUGUAGGUCUCAUAUAAACUGAUCGAAAUCAGUAUCCCAUCCGAUGUGGGACUAUUGGGGCGUUACAAACUCCCCCUGUUUAGACCCUGACGUCCUCUUCGGGUCCAAACCACAUCACAGACAGACAGACCAGGACCAUUACCAAGCGAUGUGAGAUUCUAGAGGUGGCUCCUACGGGUUCAAGAGGUGGCUCCCGCCAAACCCGUUGGUGUAGCACUUUGUCCCGCAUAGCACUUAGUUCUCACACUUCCGGCUGGUAUUCGGCUCUGAUACCAAUUGCAACGACCCGACCCGCUAACAACAAUAAUUUGUCCCAAAAUGCUUAAGCCUAGUUAUUAUUACUAGCGUCUAAGUCUCUUAUAAACCCAAUGACAAUCCAUUCCCAUCCGAUGUGGGAUUAUUGGGGUGUCACAUGUGAUCAAUGGCACAUCAGGGUCACUAUGCUU